UCUACGUGCGUAUAGUGGAUGAAAACGACAACGCGCCAGAGUUUCCGGAGGAGGAGUAUGUGACGGUGCUGAGCGAGGGCCCCGACACCUUGGGGGCCACCAUUGCCACAGUAACCGCCAUCGACCCAGACGAGGGCCUCAACGGCACCCUCCGAUACACCAUCGACCACGGCAACCUGGCCAUCACCUUCUGCAUCAAUCAAACUACCGGAAAGAUUGUUGCAGUGAAGGAGCUGGACUUUGAGAUCAGCAAUGGGCACUACGCACUUGUCGUCACAGCAACAGACCAGUGUCCCAUCCAUGCCCUCCGCCUGACAUCCAGCACUACGGUGUUGGUGAAUGUCCUGGAUGUGAACGAUGUGACCCCCACCUUCCCCAAGGUCUAUGAGGGGCCCUUUAAGAUAACAGAGGGCCAGCCYGGGCCUCGGGUCUGGACCCUCAAAGCCACUGACCAAGACUCUGGACUCAACGGCAAAGUGGAGUACAGCAUCA